GGCUUCAUAGUUAAGUGGUAAGAAAACUUGCUUCUCACGCUGGAUCCCGAGUUCGAUCCCCGGUCGAGGAGCUA